rnacentral:ncRNA from 1 species
UUUGAUGAGGCGCAUCAAUCAUUAGUAACUCCCCUAUAGGACUGCAAUCUUCAAGGAGUGAAAGGGUGCGAUGCCGAAACAUAAUAUUUUUGCAGAACUAUUAUGUUGGACGUAUAGGUUAACAGCUUAUUGUCUGUCAUUAUCUUAAUGAUAAAUGGAGUGCAUC